rnacentral:lncRNA from 1 species
UUUUUUGUUUGUUUGUUUGUUUGUUUUUUCUUCAUGUAUUUCUGUAUAGAGUUUUGUCUCCUCCCUCAUCUCUUCUCGAAUUGUGAAACACAGGGAGUGUCUGUUUCCUUGCACACAGCACUGUUAAACCAGUCUGUUAAUGUGUCAGUAUGGGGUCCAGUGCACUGCCUCUCAUACUCUUGCUGAUGUCCUUCAUCCACUCUGGACUCACUCAAGGUAUUGUGCUGUUUAUUAAACAGAUAUGAAUAGUGUUGUAGGUAGUUUAUUUGUCUAUCUCCGACUCAGUAGGCCAGUUGUUUUUGACCCAGAGCAAUAUAACCUCAAAUGUAUCAAGGUGGGGAAAAAAA